GACAAACCCAUUAAUGUUCUUCAAAUUUUACCUCAUUUUUCCAUGUGAUUCUAGGUUUGCACCGUACAUUUGUUUGGCUUCGGGAUUCUAGGGUUUAAUGUUCUUCAAAUCUGGGCGAAAUCUUACAUUGAAGAGGCCUUUAACAAGUAUAAUGAAGUGUGGCAGAAUUGGUGGAUCCUUUGAUGGAGGAAGUCAUCGAUUCAGAGGUACUUAUGAAAAUGUUUUCUUCCACUGUGCGGCAUCGAUUCGGACUGAUUGCCCAGACAUGAAAUCAGUGGGAGAACAAUUGUGGGCAAUAAAGACAGACUAUCUUAAGAGUGCAAGGAGAGUUCAUUGACUGCAAUUUGGGAGUUGUCAUUUGUAAAUCAAUUGAACAAAUCAAUUUGGGAGUUGCAGAUUUUUCUUUUAAACAAAUCUUACUUUUUUUGUUCUUUGCUUUAUUCUUAAUUCUUGAACGCAGAUGAAGAUGUUUAUUGUUUUUCAACUUCUCAUCUCAAAGCAAUGCCUCAUUAUGACAAGCAUCAAAAGGAAAUGCAAUUAGAACAUUUGCUUCUUGAACUUUGCUAUGUUGUCAAGUAGAAUUGAGAAUGUAUAAGAGUUUUGCUUCCCUUGAA